CUCACGUACGUUUCUUCAAACCGCCAUCUCUCUCUCUUCUUUUUCCAUUUUUAUUUCAUCUUCCAUACACGCACAUUAUUCACAUUCAUCUUCCACCGCUUUCUCUCUCAUCUUGAUUUUCAGAAAAUACUGAUUCCAAUUUUAGGGUUCUUCCAUUCCAGUAUUGUUGAUUGCAUCUAUGGCGAUUUUUCAAAUCCUAGGUUUUUCAUCUAAGUCUAAUUGAUGACAGGGAUGUUCGUGUUCAACUACAGACCAUCAAUUCAAAACCCCUAAUCAUCGGUCACCUGGUUGAUUCCGAAGGCUGAGUGAUGGAGCUGGUAACAAAUCAGACUUUCAAUCAUCGUUAUUUAGUGGGUUGCAGCUGCGAUGGGGUCGAUUUAAAGGUGGCACGGUGGUAGAUUUGAGGCAAAUCUAGGUCACGACAGAAAUUGAGAGCACUGAUCAACAGAGAAGCCAUGCCCGUAUAGUGGGAAAAGUUUGUCCAAUUGUGGAAAUUGAAGCUAGAGACCAUAUCUGGUGUGCUUGAGGUGAACCAUCUAAAUUUUCAUAGUUCUUAACUAUGAAGUAUUCAGACAUUUUAUUUCAAUCAUAAUAUACAAGAUUCUUGGACACCUUGCUGAGUCUUUGCGUUACAAGCUUUUUCUCCCAGCCAAUAAAAUGCUAAUCCAUCAUGAUCUAAGUUGUCAUUAACGGUUUAUGAGUUUAAUAGGUCUAAUAAAGCAGGUAAAGCUUGAUAAGAAUCUAUCAGUUGAUGCUAUGUUGACCUGUUUUCGCCAGCUUGCUAUGGUUUUCUGAGGUUUGUUAUGGACAAUGGAGCUAAAGGGUUCGAGGUGAUUGUUAGAAGAAAGCUUAGGGCCUGGCGUGCACUAUGAUGAUUGAUGGUCUAAGAAAUAGUUUAACUCAUGCAUGGUAAAAUUAUAGGGGGGUUAUUUCAGUUUUAUUGGGUUAUCAUGAGCCCGACUUAUGGUGUUAAAAAUGUCCGUUGGAAUAUUAAUAUUUGGGGCCCAGCUUUGCGUUUACAUCUGCCUUCUUAAAAAUGAUAUCGCGGUCUACAGUAGUACUUAUGGAAGCAUACCUUCCCUAUUGGGACAUAGGUGUGUAGUACAAUCAUCUAUACCUUAUAUUAAAACAAAACAUCUUUGGCCACUUGGCAUUCACUUAUACUACUCAUUGCCUGUAAUCAAGUUCCUGCAGCAGGUGCACUUGGUAUGGGUGACCAAUGAUCUGCUCAAAUUCCAAAUGCUUAGUGGGCUGGUGACAUGGCACCACCGUUGCUCAAGGUGCAAGUGGUUGAAGGUUAGACUCAACGAUAUGAGAAGACAUAGAUGUGGCAUAAUAUAGAUGAGGAACGGUUUUGGGAACCGGUGGGCCAGGCCACACUAUACUAUGGAGGGCAUAUUUAUGAUGGCUAUGAGUACGCGAUGACGCCACUCAAUGACCCAAGUAUGUAUGCUGCAGCUUAUAGAGCUUAUCCAAUGUAUGUCAUUCAUCAACAAGUCAACUAAAUGAGAUGUAGGCAUGCCCUUAAAAAUUGUUUAAUCGCCAAGUAUUAGCUGGAUAGAAUCAACUUUAAAGCUACAUCAUUUACCAGCAUGGCCAAGCAGAGGAUUCUCUUCAGGCUUCAGUACCAGCCUUCUUAAUACCUCACCACCUAAUUGACUCGGUUCAAGGGAGAUGGUUUGGAGUUGAGCAAGAGUACACUUUGCUUCAACCAGAUGUGAAGUGGCCUUUGGGAUGGCCUGGUUAUGGAGCCAAAUAGCUUGAAUGGGUCGGAUAAGUGUUAAGUUAUAACAGAUCAGGAGUAUCAUGGUUGCCUUCUAUUUUGAGUAUCAUUAUGCCUAAUCUUAAAAAAUGUUUUGGAGUAAAUUAAACCGAUGGUCAAUGGAAUGGUCAAAGUUCAUAGAUGGUCAAGUGGAAAAGUCAUAUCAUUUCUUUGUUUAUUCAUCAUUGACUGUUUAAUCAUAUCUUAUUUUUAAUUAAUUUAAUCAUAUCUUAUGUUUAAUUAUGAUAUGGGUACCAAUGAUACUGGACAAGCCAUACCAUCAGCUACCGGUAAAUGGUAAUAUUACUAUACUAUUGUUUUGUUUUUGGUUUGUUUAUGCAUAUGUAAUUGGUGGCUGACUCGGUUUAUGCCAUGCAGGCUGACACGGUUAUUGGUAAUAUUAUGUUUGUGUUGCAAAAAAAAAAAAAAAAAAAAAAAAA